GCCCGGUUGGCACAAUUGGUAAGCGCGUUCGGCUUUUAACCGAAAGGCUGUGGGUUCGAGCCCCACAUCGGGCG